GACGAACGCUGGCGGCGUGCCUAAUACAUGCCAGUUGAGCGCUGAAGGUUGGUACUUGUACCAACUGGAUGAGCAGCGAACGGGUGAGUAACGCGUGGGGAAUCUGCCUUUGAGCGGGGGACAACAUUUGGAAACGAAUGCUAAUACCGCAUAAAAACUUUAAACACAAGUUUUAAGUUUGAAAGAUGCAAUUGCAUCACUCAAAGAUGAUCCCGCGUUGUAUUAGCUAGUUGGUGAGGUAAAGGCUCACCAAGGCGAUGAUACAUAGCCGACCUGAGAGGGUGAUCGGCAACAUUGGGACUGAGACACGGCCCAAACUCCUACGGGAGGCAGCAGUAGGGAAUCUUCGGCAAUGGACGAAAGUCUGACCGAGCAACGCCGCGGGAGUGAAGAAGGGUUUCGGAUCGUAAAACUCUGUUGGUAGAGAAGAACGUUGGUGAGAGUGGAAAGCUCAUCAAGUGACGGUAACUACCCAGAAAGGGACGGCUAACUACGUG
rnacentral:rRNA from 1 species